AAAUCGUACCCCAAACCGACACAGGUGGUCAGGUAGAGAAUACCAAGGCGCUUGAGAGAACUCGGGUGAAGGAACUAGGCAAAAUGGUGCCGUAACUUCGGGAGAAGGCACGCUGACACGUAGGUGAAGUGAUUUACUCACGGAGCUGAAGUCAGUCGAAGAUACCAGCUGGCUGCAACUGUUUAUUAAAAACACAGCACUGUGCAAACACGAAAGUGGACGUAUACGGUGUGACGCCUGCCCGGUGCCGGAAGGUUAAUUGAUGGGGUCAGCG
rnacentral:rRNA from 1 species